CCUGGUUGAUCUUGCCAGUAGUCAUAUGCUUGUCUCAAAGAUUAAGCCAUGCAAGUGAAAGUAUAUGCAUAUUUUAUAUGUAGAAACUGCGAACGGCUCAUUAAAACAGUUAUAGUCUACUUGACAUUUUUUUUAUAAGGAUAACUACGGAAAAGCUGUAGCUAAUACUUGCUUUAAUACUCUUAAUUCUUUAUGUUUUUUGAGUAUGUAUUUGUUAAGCCUUAUAAGAGAAAAGUUUAUUAACUUAAGGAAUUAUAACAAAGAAGUAACACAUAAUAAAUUUCGAUUUAUUUAGUGGUAUCAAUCGAGUUUCUGACCUAUCAGCUUUUGAUGUUAGGGUAUUGGCCUAACAUGGCUAUGACGGGUAACGGGGAAUUAGAGUUCGAUUCCGGAGAGGGAGCCUGAGAAAUAGCUACCACAUCUAAGGAAGGCAGCAGGCGCGUAAAUUACCCAAUUCUAAAGAAGAGAGGUAGUGACAAGAAAUAACAAUGCAAGGCCAAAUUUUGGUUUUGCAAUUGGAAUGAUGGGAAUUUAAAACCUUCCCAGAAGGCAAUUGGAGGGCAAGUCUGGUGCCAGCAGCCGCGGUAAUUCCAGCUCCAAUAGCGUAUAUUAAAAUUGUUGCAGUUAAAACGCUCGUAGUUGAAUUUCAAGGAAUCAAUAUUUUAAGUAAUGCUUUGUAUAUUUAUAACAAAGUUGUACAUUAAGAAUAAACGCCAAGCGUUAUAUUUUUUCUGUUACAUUUUGUUUUAUUAAUAUAUAUAUGCGUUCUUAUUAUAAAAAUGAUUCUUUUUAAAAUUCUUUUGUAUAAUUUUUUAUGCAUGGGAAUUUUGUUACUUUGAGUAAAUUAGAGUGUUCAAAGCAAACAGUUAAAACAGUUUCUGUGUUUGAAUACUACAGCAUGGAAUAACAAAAUUGAACAAGUCAGAAUUUUGUUCUUUUUUCUUAUUUUGGCUUAGUUACGAUUAAUAGGAGUAGCUUGGGGGCAUUUGUAUUCAGAUGUCAGAGGUGAAAUUCUUAGAUUUUCUGGAGACAAGCAACUGCGAAAGCAUUUGCCUAAAAUACUUCCAUUAAUCAAGAACGAAAGUUAAGGGAGUGAAGACGAUCAGAUACCGUCGUAAUCUUAACCAUAAACUAUGCCGACUAGGUGUUGGAUGAUAGAGUAAAAAAUAAAAGAGACAUUCAUAUGAGUGUUUCUUUUAGAUAGCUUCCUUCAGUACCUUAUGAGAAAUCAAAGUCUUUGGGUUCUGGGGCGAGUAUUCGCGCAAGCGAGAAAGUUAAAAGAAUUGACGGAAGGGCACCACCAGGCGUGGAGCUUGCGGCUUAAUUUGACUCAACACGGGGAAACUCACUAGUUUAAGACAAGAGUAGGAUUGACAGAUUAAUAGCUCUUUCUUGAUUUCUUGGAUGGUGAUGCAUGGCCGUUUUUAGUUCGUGAAUAUGAUUUGUCUGGUUAAUUCCGAUAACGAACGAGAUCUUAACCUGCUAAUUAGCGGUAAAUACACUAUAUUCUUAAGUGAAAUUAGAAUAUAGAUAAAUUGUGCUAAUUUUGAUUAAAAUAUUAGAAUGUUUUUUUUAAUAAAAACGUUCUUUUCCCUUUUUUUCUUAAUUAUGCAUAUUUAUUCUUUUUCUUUUUUCGCAUAAGAAUGUAUUUGCUUAAUUGUAAAGCUUCUUAGAGGAACGAUGUGUGUCUAACACAAGGAAGUUUAAGGCAACAACAGGUCUGUGAUGUCCUUAGAUGAACUAGGCUGCACGCGUGCUACACUGAUAUGUAUAACGAGUAUUUAAAAAUAUAUAUCUUGUUAUGUUAUAUGUAUUUCUAUAUGUAUGCAUGCAAAGAAUAUAUAGUUUUCCUCCACUGAAAAGUGUAGGUAAUCUUUUUCAAUACAUAUCGUGAUGGGGAUAGAUUAUUGCAAUUAUUAAUCUUGAACGAGGAAUGCCUAGUAAGCAUGAUUCAUCAGAUUGUGCUGACUACGUCCCUGCCCUUUGUACACACCGCCCGUCGCUCCUACCGAUUGAAAGAUAUGAUGAAUUGUUUGGACAAGGAAAAAGGGUUUUUAUUCUUUUUUCUGGAAAAAUCGUAAAUCCUAUCUUUUAAAGGAAGGAGAAAGUCGUAACAAGGUUUCCGUCGGUGAACCUGCGGAAG
rnacentral:rRNA from 1 species